AAGGAGAGGAGACUGCAUAGGGUGUGACUAUCAGGAACCAUGGCUCACUGGAGCACCAUCUUUGGAGUCUAGCUAACACAGCAUCUUGGAUGCACUCCUAAGAGAAGACUACCUGAAAGGCGUGUACACUGGUCUAGCAGUUGAGAUCAGCUAGUGUUCCAUCUAUCUUCUGUCAUGUAUCUCUUCUAAGAUGUCUUGAUCGACUGACCCCAAAGCCAGAGGGUACCAGGUCAAAAAGCAAGCAAAGGUGCUGCUGGUUACUCUUGGUUCAUCUAGCAAUAGAUGAUCUGAAUGUUAGAGUUCGCCAAAUAUUGUUCCUGGGCAGUCUUUGCUCUACCAAAUCAACUUUCUCCAUGGGGGAGCUAGAAGUCACCCCACAUUCUCCGCCAUGGCCAGCUCUACAUUCUAAGAGAUGACAAAGACACAAGGAGCCAAGACAGAUCAUUCAAGCAUAUUCAUUGCCUCUAUCUUCAUCCCAUUAAAUAACAUCCCGCCAACCAAAGCAAGUUAUCUGCAUAAGAAUAAAUAUUCCACCUACUCUACUGCAAGGCCCUGCAAGAGUCAUGAGACAAAAGGAUCCUCUGUGGACAGCACCCAAGAUGGAAACAACUGACAGUCUAUGGCCAGGGCUAUACUCUGGUGAAACUGAAAGGUGUCUGCAUGGAAGUGUCUGACUACCACCAUCCACUCAGGCAAAUGCAUUUGUUUCCCUCUAUUCAUUAUUAGAAGAGAGGAGAUUACAUACCAGACAUAUACCAAUAGGUUUUCUCUUCAUAAUACCUACGUCAUCUAGUAGCAUAACAUAAGGCAGAAUCCUUCAAAGGUUGACUCCUAGAGAUGGAAGAGCUGUAAGCAGAGACAGAAAAGUAUGUUUUCACACAAACUCUUUGGCUCAUUAGCAGAUGGCAGCAAUGAGCCAAUAAAAUAUAUUUUUCUCCUUU
rnacentral:lncRNA from 1 species